CAUUUGCAUACAUUUGUACAAAACAAAAAUAAGUCUCAAAUCAAAAAUUACAUUAAUGGCUCGAUCCUUUAAACUGUUUGUUACUAUGUUCCUUUUGUUGGUCCUCCUUACUUUUACUGAGAUGGGUCCAAUAAUGCUUGGAGAAUCAUAUAACUGUUAUAAUAAUCCCAAGCUUUGCAUGACCGCUAAAACUUGCACUAAAUUUUGCCAAAAAGGGGGCUAUAAAGGAGGUGGAUGCUUAGAAUUAAAUUGCUGCUGCUAUCCACCGGGCCACCGGGUGUAAUACAAUGGUGAUUGUGGAGAUUUAUUUAUUUACUAUCAUGUCGAGUCGAGUGUGAGAGGUGUGAAUUUUGCUUUGUAUGGAUAAGAUUGCAGGAUAAAUAUCAAAUAAUACACUUUUUAUAGUACGUGUUGCUGAGUACACUCGAAGCAUGAUGUAAUUAUUAAAAUGUCACAAUAUUUUUUUCUUGCU